rnacentral:rRNA from 1 species
GACAGAGGUGCCCGAGCGUUAGGCGGAAUCACUGGGCUUAAAGCGUGUGUAGGCGGGUCCGUAAGUACCUUGUGAAAUCCCACGGCUCAACCGUGGAACUGCUCGGUAUACUGCGGGUCUUGAGCUGUCUAGGGGCGACCCGGAAGCAAGCGGUGGAGCGGUGAAAUGCGUAGAUAUCGCUUGGGAACGCCCAGUGGUGGAAAAACGGGUCGCUGGGGACAUGCUGACGCUGAGACACGAAAGCCCAGGGGAGCAAACGGG